GACGAACGCUGGCGGCGUGCUUAACACAUGCAAGUCGAGCGGUAAGGCCCUUUCGGGGGUACACGAGCGGCGAACGGGUGAGUAACACGUGGGUGACCUGCCCUUAGCUCUGGGAUAAGCCUGGGAAACUGGGUCUAAUACCGGAUAUGACUCCAUGACGCAUGUUGUGGGGUGGAAAGCCUUGUGCGGCUAGGGAUGGGCCCGCGGCCUAUCAGCUUGGUUGGUGGGGUGAUGGCCUACCAAGGCGACGACGGGUAGCCGGCCUGAGAGGCGACCGGCCACACUGGGACUGAGACACGGCCCAGACUCCUACGGGAGGCAGCAGUGGGGAAUCUUGCGCAAUGGGCGAAAGCCUGACGCAGCGACGCCGCGUGGGGAUGACGGCCU
rnacentral:rRNA from 1 species